rnacentral:rRNA from 1 species
AUGCCUCCAGCCGGAACACAUUUCUCUCCGUCUCCACCUUUCAUUUCCCUCUCCGUCCGACAUGGCCAGCAAAAGAAGACCACUUACGCUAUGCUAACACAUGAGCGCUGCUUCCACAUCAAGGAGGAGAUCCGGGCGAGGCGCGGUACCCGGGCCGCUGCAGACCUGCCUCCAGACUUGCCGGGGCCGGAGGAUGAGGAGGUGGAGCGCCAACCGGAGCCCAUGGAGGGGGCGGACGCGAUGGAGCCGACGCCUGUUUCAGGCUUCACCGUGGAGGAGGCCAUGGCGGAGUUCGCCGUCGCCCAAGCGGCGGAGAUAGCGGAGCAGGCAACCAUCCUGGAGUCCAUCUAG